GGGAAUGUAGCUUAGUGAUAGGGCACUUGCCUAGUAUGCAAGAGACCCUGAGUUCUGUUCCCA
rnacentral:tRNA from 1 species